rnacentral:rRNA from 1 species
GAUGAACGCUGGCGGCGUGCCUAAUACAUGCAAGUCGAGCGAACAGACGAGGAGCUUGCUCCUCUGACGUUAGCGGCGGACGGGUGAGUAACACGUGGAUAACCUACCUAUAAGACUGGGAUAACUUCGGGAAACCGGAGCUAAUACCGGAUAAUAUAUUGAACCGCAGGGUUCAAUAGUGAAAGACGGUUUUGCUGUCACUAAUAGAUGGAUCCGCGCCGCAUUAGCUAGUUGGUAAGGUAACGGCUUACCAAGGCAACGAUGCGUAGCCGACCUGAGAGGGUGAUCGGCCACACUGGAACUGAGACACGGUCCAGACUCCUACGGGAGGCAGCAGUAGGGAAUCUUCCGCAAUGGGCGAAAGCCUGACGGAGCAACGCCGCGUGAGUGAUGAAGGUCUUCGGAUCGUAAAACUCUGUUAUUAGGGAAGAACAAAUGUGUAAGUAACUAUGCACGUCUUGACGGUACCUAAUCAGAAAGCCACGGCUAACUACGUG